AUGUGUUUAGGCAGAGAUCACUACAUCUUUUUUCUGUCACCAAUCUUAGACAAACCCUAGAUAUUGCUCUGCUCUGCCUUGAGUCCUCUUUUCUCCACGUGUAACCUCGUUCUCUUUGCUAGGACCAUCAUUCUUAGAACCCAGUGACCAUGAUCUAAUUUAGGUUUGUCCUUUACGCCUAGCCAAACCUUCAUUUGCCCGAGGUCCUGUUCUCAAGUAACUAUCAUGGAGAGUUGACCUGAAGACAUUAGGCAGGAUAAGGUUGCUAAAGGACUCUGCUCCACUGAGUUGAGUGACCCAGGCCACCAUCUCAAAAGUUGAAAUCAUCAUGAAAGGAAAGAAGGCUCUAAGUGUUUUCCUGGUAAUUAAAUGCACUGGCUCAAAAAUUAUCAAUAUUACUUCUACUCUCAAGUCAUUGACCAGAAUUAACCAUAUUGCUCCAUCCAACCAGAAAGAAAGCAGGAAGUACAAUCUUUUUCUGUGUAUCCGAAGUAUAGAGAUAUUUGGUGCAUUGCAUAAAUGAUUAACACACCAAUUCAUGAGUGAUCACUAA